CAGCAGCCGCGGUAAUACGGAGGGGGCAAGCGUUGUUCGGAAUUACUGGGCGUAAAGAGCGAGCAGGUGGUUCAUUAAGUCAAUUGUGAAAGCUCAAGGCUUAACCUUGAAAUUGCUUUUGAUACUGAUGAACUAGAGUUUGGGAGAGGAUAGUGGAAUUCUAAGUGUAGAAGUGAAAUUCGUAGAUAUUUAGAGGAACACCGAUAGCGAAGGCAACUAUCUGGCCCUUUACUGACACUCAGAAGCGAAAGCUUGGGUAGCAAACAGGAUUAGAUACCCUGGUAGUCCAUGCUGUAAACGAUGAGUGCUAGAUGUUAGAAGUUUACUUCUAGUAUCGAAGCUAACGCGUUAAGCACUCCGCCUGGGGAGUACGGCCGCAAGGCUAAAACUCAAAUGAAUUGACGGGGACCCGCACAAGCAGUGGAGCAUGUGGUUUAAUUCGACGCUACGCGAAGAACCUUACCAGCUCUUGACAUGCUAAGUUUUAAAUUUAAGAGAUUAAAUUUUUCAGUUCGGCUGGGCUUAGUACAGGUGCUGCAUGGCUGUCGUCAGCUCGUGUCGUGAGAUGUUCGGUUAAGUCCGGCAACGAGCGCAACCCUCAUCUUCAGUUACUAACAGGUUAAGCUGAGGACUCUGGAGAAACUGCCGUUGGAAAAGCGGAGGAAGGCGAGGAUGACGUCAAGUCCUCAUGGCCCUUAUGGGCUGGGCUACACACGUGCUACAAUGGUAAUUACAAAAAGUCGCGAAAUGGCAACAUUGAGCUAAUCUUUAAAAAUUAUCUUAGUUCAGAUUGUUCUCUGCAACUCGAGAGCAUGAAGUUGGAAUUGCUAGUAAUCGUGGAUCAGCAUGCCACGGUGAAU
rnacentral:rRNA from 1 species